CAAAAGGUAAUACUAAACAUUUCAUCAAUGUUUUCUAAGAAUUUAUAAGUUCCUAUAAUUAUUAUUUUAUUUUACCUUGCAAGUUCAUUUUUGUUGUGUGCAUGUAUAUAUAUAGAAACUGGGAUUCUUCAAAUCUUGGGAAGGAUAUAACUCAACCGGGACCAGAUUUCGACUAAGAAAGAUUUUCAAGAUUUUGCCAAGAGAAUCAUCUUCGUCUUACAAAGUUGUAAUGGGAUCACGCAUAGUUGAUGGUGAUCAACAAUCUUGUUAUAAGAUUGUAAAUCGUGGAUCAGUUUUCGCAAUCAAGGAUGGAUCGGGAAGAUUAAUGGCAGAAGUUAAAAACAAACUAUCGGAUAUUAGUGGUUUGGAUCUUGGAGAUGAUGUUUUGACAAUGAUGGUGGAGCCACAACUAGAUCAUUCUUUAAU
rnacentral:sRNA from 1 species